GGUAAGGUGGCUCACUGGUAGAGUGCCUGUCUUACAUGCAUGCGGCUCUGGGUUCGAUUUCCUGGCACCA
rnacentral:tRNA from 1 species